rnacentral:rRNA from 1 species
GACAGCAGUCGCCGCGGUAAUACGGAGGGUGCAAGCGUUAAUCGGAAUUACUGGGCGUAAAGCGCACGCAGGCGGUCUGUCAAGUCAGAUGUGAAAUCCCCGGGCUUAACCUGGGAACUGCAUUUGAAACUGUCAGGCUGGAGUCUUGUAGAGGGGGGUAGAAUUCCAGGUGUAGCGGUGAAAUGCGUAGAGAUCUGGAGGAAUACCGGUGGCGAAGGCGGCCCCCUGGACAAAGACUGACGCUCAGGUGCGAAAGCGUGGGGAGCAAACAGGAUUAGAGACCCCUGUAGUCCCUGUCUCUUAUAC